rnacentral:rRNA from 1 species
UGGGGAAUUUUGGACAAUGGGCGAAAGCCUGAUCCAGCAAUGCCGCGUGUGUGAAGAAGGCCUUCGGGUUGUAAAGCACUUUUGUCCGGAAAGAAAUCCUUGGCUCUAAUACAGUCGGGGGAUGACGGUACCGGAAGAAUAAGCACCGGCUAACUACGUGCCAGCAGCCGCGGUAAUACGUAGGGUGCAAGCGUUAAUCGGAAUUACUGGGCGUAAAGCGUGCGCAGGCGGUUUGCUAAGACCGAUGUGAAAUCCCCGGGCUCAACCUGGGAACUGCAUUGGUGACUGGCAGGCUAGAGUAUGGCAGAGGGGGGUAGAAUUCCACGUGUAGCAGUGAAAUGCGUAGAGAUGUGGAGGAAUACCGAUGGCGAAGGCAGCCCCCUGGGCCAAUACUGACGCUCAUGCACGAAAGCGUGGGGAGCAAACAGGAUUAGAUACCCUGGUAGUCCACGCCCAUAAACGAUGU